rnacentral:rRNA from 1 species
UACGAAGGGGGCUAGCGUUGCUCGGAAUUACUGGGCGUAAAGGGCGCGUAGGCGGAUAGUUUAGUCAGAGGUGAAAGCCCAGGGCUCAACCUUGGAAUUGCCUUUGAUACUGGCUAUCUUGAGUUCGGGAGAGGUGAGUGGAAUGCCGAGUGUAGAGGUGAAAUUCGUAGAUAUUCGGCGGAACACCAGUGGCGAAGGCGACCCACUGGCCCGAUACUGACGCUGAGGCGCGAAAGCGUGGGGAGCAAACAGG